rnacentral:tRNA from 1 species
GCGCGCUCAGCUGGGGCACCCCCGGUGUGGAGUGCGGAGCAGACGGCCCCAGGAGGAGGGCUCUCCGCUCCGCUCCGCUGGGUCCGCCCUGGGCGGGUCCACUCCUAGACGUCGGCGCACCCUGGCGGCUCCUUCCCUCCGAGGUCAGCGACAGCCUUCCUUGUGCUUUAACCCUGCAAGUAGAAGACCGAGCACAGAACUGUGACAUUAGUUCUGGACCAGGGCAGAGGAAGGCCCGGCGUCCCUCACCCCGCUACUUACCCACGGGAACCCGUGUCCACGCCGUUUCCACCGCUCCCCUUCAAAAGGAGGGACCACCCCAGGCCGCGAGGCCAAGUGUGGGGAGGAACGGGACGGGCGCGCAGAGGCCCAGGACUGGCCUCCGAGGGGAGGACGACCACAGCGCGGGAGGACGCGGAGGACUCGGGGUACGCGGGAGGAGCAGCGGGGAUGGGUGAGGACCGGCGAGGACGCGGGAGGAUGGGUGAGGACCAGCGAGGACGCAGGAGGACCCGAGGACGCGGAGGACAUUGAGGGCACGGAAGACCCCGCGCUCCGCCCCGGCGCGCCCACCUCCGGGUCCAGUCAGGCUCCGCGAUCCGGGGCUCCGGCACGGAAAGCAGGUGGACCCCUGGGCGCGCCCGGUGCCGCCGCGCGCGGGAGAUUACCAGCGCCUCGGAACCGCGGCCGGAGUGGCCGGCGUUUUCUCCGCAGGCAUCGCCGCGGGGUACUUCCCAAAACAAUGCGGGAAACUUCCAAAUUCCUCCUGCUUCCCGGUCCCUGAGCGCACCGUGGCACCGCGCUCGUCUUCCUAUUUCCUUUCUAACUGCUAAGAACUUGCGCAGCGGCGCCCAAGAGGAGCCGGGUUCGGUCCGGAGACCGAGGGCGGAAGCGGUCCCCCAGGAGCAGGUUAAAGUUGGGAAAAGUUAAAAGGAGCAACUGGCCCGUACGGGGAUCGAACCCGCGACCUUGGCGUUAUUAGCACCACGCUCUAACCAACUGAGCUAACCGGCCGCCUGUGACAGGCCGCGCUUUCUUUCAUGUUUUGAACUAUCUCUAAUGUCCGGGACGUUUUACGAAGAAUGAGUUCCGCUCUUUCUUAUUAUUUAUUAUUUGAAAAGGAAGAGGGAAGGACUCCGCACCAACAAGAGAGAACUGCUCCCUCUGGGAGGCUGGGCCCUGUGCGCCGCGACCCCUCCGCUCCGCAUUUUCCGUAGGCAGCUCGGCGCGGGGUCAGCCUGGCGCUGUCGCCUAGCCGGGUGGCGACCCACGCAGACGCCAGGGCGUACCCAACGCCGCGGCCGGGGACUCGAGGACGCACCCUGAAGAGCCCCAGCUCUCUUCCCGUGCUCGAAAACCCGAGAGUCGCGCCAGCGACGAGGCCGGUGGAGGCUGGAGGCCGUGGCGUCCAGCACCGGACAGUCGCUGGGGUCGGAAGACGCGGGUCGCCGGCCGGUCCGGAAGCUUGCAGCAGGAAGCGGCGCGAACCUGCCCCAGGGCGAGCCCCGCGCCCGCGCCCGCCGGACCCACCCGCUGGCGGAGCGCACCCAGGAGCGUUGGGCAGCACCCCCGCGCCCUGCGGUCCUGUGCAUCCCACAGCCGCCCGUGCAGUUUCCAAGUUUCUCCUCCUGUUUCAGCUGAAGUUGAGACCCCAUGAAUACUGGAAGGACACCUUCUUCUCUUUCGCUUCUUCUUCUUUUUGAGAAAGGAGCCCUGUAUCUUUUGAUAAACCAGGUCGACUAUUCAUUUGCAUCCUUUCCGCCAAGAAAUUUGUAAAUUGUGAUUUUUUAAAAAAGGGGUGAGCUCGCGCUUUUUAUUUAAGCACCAUUUUACUCCUUCCCUCCAGUUCUCCCUCUCCAUAGUGCUCUAGCCCUUUCUCUUCUCUCUGCGUGCGCCUGCCCCUCCUCCAGCUCUCAGCUCUCGAGACCCUUUCUGCCCCUCAGCCGGGGGCCCACUGUUUGAGUGCUGGGCGGCCUCUGCUCUCCGGGCUCACAGUCUGUUUUUGUCUAGAUCUCUCGUCCGGGAUCCUUGCUGGGGUUUCCCGUGGCUCUCCACCCGACAGUGCAAACACAAACUGCCCUAGGUUGAUUUCUCUUAGUUUCCCCGCUGCUACAGUUUGGAUUUUAAAUGUCCCCCAGGUCCUUGUGCUCAAGGCUUGGUCCCCAGCACGCUUGCAGCUACUAGGAGUUAGCAAGGCCUUUAGGUCGGACGUGCCCUCCACCGGAACAGCGGAAGCCCCGCCCCUUCCGCCUCCUGAUCACUUCCGGUUUUGCUCUGCGUUCCACUUGGGCCAUGGUGAGCUACACGUCCAAAGCAGCAGGGUGCAUUUCACUCUCCAUCUUUCGGGGUCUUCUUAUGUCCAUCCUACAUAUGACAUCCAGGGGGCUUAUUCCAAUAAGGAGGAUAAGGACAGGUACAUCGAUACCAUCUUCCAGAAACCUUGACAUAUUUUCAUACCUAUAUUUAUCAUUGUAUCUGAAUGUUUUUAUUAGUAGACGGAUUGCACCUAUAAAACUUAGGUAUGAUUUGUAUUACAAGGUAAUGUAUUAGUGUUUACUUGUAAGCAUAUUAUGUUUAUUCAUAUCCUAUAUUUAGUUAUAUUUAUUUGUGUAUCACCAGUGAAAUCAGUUAUUAUUACUAAGAGCAAUAAACAUAUCAGUUGCCUUUGAUUCAAUGUGUUAACAUUAGCAUUAUACCAUUUCUAUAAAACUCAGAAACCUCUACUUUUUUUUUUGUACUCUUACAUAAGAGCAAAUAUCUUGGUAUCUCUUUCUUGUAGUGUUGGUUGCUGCCUUGUUAAUUGGGUGGUUAGCAGGCUGAGACUUUCCCAUACUUUGGGUUCCUAUACAAACUGAAGUUCACUGUAAACAGUAAAUUAAGUUUACUGAAAUUAAGACUCACCAAUCAGAAACCACCAAACUGACCUCUAACUAGGGGUAUUAAACUAGUAUCAGUCAAAUGCCUUUUCUGUGUCUUGCUUCCUGAACACCUGUAGUUCCUCCUGUGGCCCUCUCAUCUGGUGUUGCCAGAUGCCACAGUGGUCUGCUCGGAUUAAAUCUUUACAGUGCCUACGUUGUUUGUUGUUAUUUUUGCUGUUUUACUAGGGAUUGAACCCAAGACCUUUUAAACCACUGAGCCACAUCCCCAGCCCUUUUAAGUUUUUACUUUAAGACCAGAUCUUGCUAAAGUGCUUAGGGCCUCACUGAGUGGCUGAGGCUGGCCUUAAACAUGUGAUUCUCCUGCCUCAGCCUCCCAAGCCACUGGGAUUACAGGCAUGCACUACCACGCCCAGUUUAUCUUUUAACAAUAGGGAUUGGCUUUAUGAUGGUCAUCCCUUGAGGAAUCAGCUUCCACUCAGGUUUUGAAACCAUGUGUUCUCUCCCUCUCUCUCUCUCUCUCUCCCACCCCCCCUCUCUGCUCCACCCCCAACCCCAGCAGCUUUCUUCACAGAGCCCAAAACCCUUUUCCUGGUGGACAGCCCAGUUAGUGUUUUUGAUUGGCAGUUAGUCUUCAACUCUUCAUCCUUGGUUUUGUUUCGGUUUUCACAGCAGCAAUGGAUUGCUUCUUGUGUUUUAAUUUGCAUGUGAGUGACUUGAUUUGGAAUCUUCUGUCUGCUCAUCUAAUAACUUUAGAUGACUGUUACUUUAGUGACUGUAACUUUGUUUGGACUUUGACUUCCAGAACCAGUUCACCCUAUUUCUUCUCACACACUGAAAUCGCUCUUGCUGUGUUUCCCACCUGUUCCUUUCCCCCAUGACUUUGGCAAUGGGAUGACUGAAACUGACAUGCAUUCUUCUAUCAUCUAAGUACAUUGUCCAAGUCAAAGAGUUUCUCCCAGUGCAGACACAGCAGAGCGCUUCUCCCAUCCUUCGGUCCCAGAUGAGUUCACAACUCCUCAUUGGUUCAAAUGCUAAGAAUCUCAUCUCCCGUCCUCAUCUAUGAUCGCUGGAUUCAACUUACACUAAGCAGCACGGUUUUUAGACAUUUCUUAUCUGCCUCAAGUUGGUCUUUCACCACUUCCAAUAGUUUUUGGCCUCUUUUGUGCCUUUAUUUUUUCUG